GAAUUUUGGACAAUGGGCGAAAGCCUGAUCCAGCAAUGCCGCGUGCAGGAUGAAGGCCUUCGGGUUGUACACUGCUUUUGUCCGGAACGAAAAGCUUUGGGUUAAUACCCUGGAGUCCUUACGGUAACGCAAGAAUAAGCACCGGCGACCUACGUGCCAGCCGCCGCGGGAAGACGUAGGGUGCAAGAGGUAAAGGGAAUUACUGGGCGUAAAGAGGGCGCGGGCGGUUUUGUAAGAAAGAGGUGAAAGCCCCGGGCUCAACCUGGGAACUGCCUUUGUGACUGCAAGGCGAGAGUACGGCAGAGGGGGGUGGAAUUCCGAGUGUAGCAGUGAAAUGCGUAGGUAUGCGGAGGAACACCGAUGGCGAAGGCAACCCCCUGGGCCUGUACUGACGCUCAUGCACGAAAGCGUGGGGAGCAAACAG
rnacentral:rRNA from 1 species